CAGACACACAGAAGAGGCGAAGUUGCAGUUCUUCUCGAAAUCAGCAGAUCGUCUUUUUCAUUAUGAAGCUGAUUAUAAUAACCAUAAUGAUCAUCGUGGCUUUGAUGUGUCUGCAAGCAGUAUUAGGUGUUUAUUGCAUUGGAAGAGGACAGAGAUGUGGAAUUUUUAAUAAUUGCUGCAAGGGGCUCAUAUGUGAUUUUCCCAAAAAUCUUUGGAACAAAUAUUGUUACGAACCGUCAUAUUUCAAACAAUAAACAUCCUUUGACUUCUUCAGAAUGUGAUUGGCUACUUUUGUCCCAAGUAGUAGCCAUGUAUCAAGACAUGAACAUUCCAAAAGUAUUUUGUGCGGUUUGAUGCUGAUAAUGAUCAUGUCAGACAUUGUCUACU